GAUGAAGAACGUAGCGAAAUGCGAUAAGUAAUGUGAAUUGUAGAAUUCAGUGAAUCAUCGAGUCUUUGAACGCACAUUGCGCCCCCUGGUAUUCCGGGGGGCAUGCCUGUCCGAGCGUCAUUUCAACCCUCAAGCCCCCGGGCUUGGUGUUGGGGAUCGGCGAGCCUCCGCGCCCGCCGUCCCCUAAAUCUAGUGGCGGUCUCGCUGUAGCUUCCUCUGCGUAGUAGCACACCUCGCACUGGGAAACAGCGCGGCCACGCCGUUAAACCCCCAACUUCUGAACGUUUGACCUCGGAUCAGGUAGGAAUACCCGCUGAACUUAAGCAUAUCAAUAAGCGGAGGA
rnacentral:misc_RNA from 1 species